GAUGAAGAACGUAGCGAAAUGCGAUACGUAAUGUGAAUUGCAGAAUUCAGUGAAUCAUCGAGUCUUUGAACGCACAUUGCGCCCCCUGGUAUUCCGGGGGGCAUGCCUGUCCGAGCGUCAUUGCUGCCCUCAAGCACGGCUUGUGUGUUGGGCCUCCGUCCUCCUCCCGGGGGACGGGCCCGAAAGGCAGCGGCGGCACCGCGUCCGGUCCUCGAGCGUAUGGGGCUUCGUCACCCGCUCUUGUAGGCCCGGCCGGCGCUUGCCGACACAUCAAUCUUUUUUCCAGGUUGACCUCGGAUCAGGUAGGGAUACCCGCUGAACUUAAGCAUAUCGAUAAGCGGAGGA
rnacentral:misc_RNA from 1 species